AGUGACUCUGUAGAUCUGCGAGUCGACUCUUUUCUAUUAACACAAGCAGACGCCACCAGGAACCGACUCUUUCAUAAACGACUCAUUAAUGUUUGGUGAAUGUGUGUGUUACGAGAAAGUGCUCGGAUCUGCGAGUCGAUUCCUUUUUGAACCGACUCUUUCUAAAACGACUCCUCGUUGCCCAGGGCUUUAACAGAGGAUGCAAAAGAAUGAAACCAGAUUCUCCCUUGUUCCUCAGAGCAGAUCCACCUGUUCCACCACUUCAGCACUUGGUUGGAGGGUUGCGAGGUCAUCUGUGAGAUGGCCUGGUUGGGUGAAAGUGUGAAGACUGAGGAAAAUGGUGCUUCACAACCUCA